AUGAAGAUCACGGUGCGGGGAUCGACGGUCGUGGUGCCGGCGGAGGAGACGCCGCGGCUCCGGCUGUGGAACGCCAACCCGGACCUGGUCGUGCCGCGGUUCCACACGCCGAGCGUCUACUUCUUCCGGCGCGGCGCGGGGGAGGAGGAGGCGGACGGCUACUUCGACGCGGAGCGGAUGCGCCGGGCGCUGGCGGAGGCGCUGGUGCCGUUCUACCCGAUGGCGGGGCGGCUGGCCCGCGACGAGGACGGGCGCGUGGAGAUCGACUGCAACGCGGAAGGGGUGCUCUUCGUGGAGGCCGACGCGCCCGACGGCACCGUCGACGACUUCGGCGACUUCGCGCCCACCAUGGACCUCAAGCGCCUCAUCCCCGCCGUCGACUUCACCGGGGGCAUCUCCUCCUACCCGCUCCUCGUGGUCCAGGUGACCCACUUCAAGUGCGGAGGCGUCGCCCUCGGCAUAGGCAUGCAGCACCACGUCGCCGACGGCUUCUCCGGCCUGCACUUCAUCAACUCAUGGGCCGACCUCUGCCGCGGCGUGCCGAUUGCCGUCAUGCCGUUCAUUGACCGCACCCUCCUCCGCGCACGCGACCCGCCGACGCCGUCCCAUCCGCACAUCGAGUACCAGCCAGCGCCCGCCAUGCUGGACGCGGAGGAGCCGCAGGCCCUCACCGCCAAGCCGGAAGCGCGGCCCACGGCCGUGGACAUCUUCAAGCUUUCCCGCGCCGACCUCGGCCGCCUCCGCGCCCAGCUCCCCACUGGCGAGGGCGCGCCGCGGUUCAGCACCUACGCGGUGCUCGGGGCGCACGUCUGGCGGUGCGCGUCCCUGGCCCGUGGCCUGUCCCCAGAGCAGCCCACCAAGCUGUACUGCGCCACGGACGGGCGGCAGCGGCUGCAGCCGCCGCUCCCGGAGGGCUACUUCGGCAACGUCAUCUUCACGGCCACGCCGCUCGCGGUGGCGGGCAAGGUGACCGGCUCGCUGGCGGACGGCGCGACCACGAUCCAGGCGGCGCUGGAGGUUAUGGACAACGAGUACUGCCGCUCGGCGCUGGACUACCUGGAGAUGCAGCCGGACCUGUCGGCGCUGGUCCGCGGCGCGCACACGUUCCGGUGCCCCAACCUCGGGCUCACCAGCUGGGUGCGCCUGCCCAUCCACGAUGCCGACUUCGGCUGGGGCCGGCCCGUCUUCAUGGGCCCCGGCGGCAUCGCGUACGAGGGGCUCGCAUUCGUGCUCCCCAGCGCCAGCCGCGACGGCAGCCUGUCGGUGGCCAUCUCGCUGCAGGCCGAGCAUAUGGAGAAGUUCCGGAAGAUGAUCUUUGACUUCUGA
rnacentral:rRNA from 1 species